GAGCGCCGCAGCACGUGUCCAAGUCGUGUGGUCUGCGUGAGAUGUCAGAGGGUGUGAUUGGACGAGGAGUGUUUGGCUCUGCGGUUCUGCCCAGUCGGCCCAGUGUUUCUGCUUCCCCUGAGCAGAGUGACGCGGUCAGCAGAGCAGAUCCUCCGUCAGGGGUGUACGGACACGCUUUCUCCAGCAAACACACAGACUCGGACGCCAGUCCUGAACCACAGCAGCUGCAGGAGAAGGUGAAACUGUGUAAGUUUGCGAGUGAGAAGAUGCGUCAGCAGCGUGUGGAGCAGCAGGAGCCAAUUAAACGCGACGAUACACAUGAUGAAGAUGAAGACGAUGAUGUGAAAGACGUCAACAUGAACGGCUGUGAGUCUCCCUCAGAUGAAUCUCCCUCCAGCCCUAACGGACCAAUCAAAAGCAUCAGCCCCGCCCAUCAGCCCGCCCCUCCGACUGGACCGCCCAAUAGAACCACAGUGCCGCGACUCAGACGAGCAUCUAGUCUGAACAGAAGCAGACCGGCUGCCACACACAGCUGCGAUGAGCUGGUUUCUGGCAGUCCUAAGAAGGAGUCUCAGGAUCAGCUGGAGCUGCGGCCGUUCUCUAAACCGGAGCUGGCGCUGACGCAAAGCUUCAGACUGACCGCUGCAGACGACUGGGAGAAGAAGAUCGAGGGCAUGAACAUGCUGCGCAGUCUGGCUCAGUAUCAUCCUGAUGUGCUGAUGAGCCGCAUUCAUGACGUGUGUCUCGCUCUCAUUCAGGAGGUGCGUAACCUGCGCUCCGGCGUGUCCCGUGUUGCCGUGGUGACCCUGGGCGAGAUGUUUGCGUCCCUGCAGAAGGGGAUGGAUCAGGAGCUGGACGCACCGGUGCGAGCGCUGCUGCAUAAAGCUGGAGAAUCCAACGGCUUCAUCCGCACAGACGUGGAGCGCGCGCUGGACAGCCUGACACAACACUGCACACACACACGCUGCAUACACGCACUGCUGGCCGGAGGACUCGGGUCAGGAAACACUCUCUCUCUCUCUGUGUGUGUGUGCUUACCUCCAGUGUUUAUGACUAUAAUGUGUGUGUGUGUGUUCUCUGACAGUCAUCUGAACGCAGCGGUGCGCAGGUGUACAGCUCAUCAUCUCAGUGUUCUGCUGGAGCGUGUGGGUGCUGCUCGCCUGCUGAGCGGCGCUAAAGACGUGACAGAGCGACUGCUGCCCGCCGUGGCCAAGCUGGCGCAGGACUCCAGUCAGGAGGCCAGGUGAGCUCAUUAGCAUAUAUUUACUUCUGCAUGUUUAGCAGGAGCUGAGGAGGUCAUCCUCUCCUGUUCCUCAUUGGCUGGAAGCGCUGCUUUAUUCACUGUGUUGUAGGCCAUAUUAGUAUGUAAUCAGCCUGUCUAAUCUGUGUGUGUGUGUGUGUGUGUGUGUGUGUGUGUCAGGUACUUCGGCCGGCGGAUGCUGCUGUUUCUCUCCUCUCACCGUGACUUUGAUAAGAUGAUGGAGAAGUUUAUUCCUGCGAAAGACCUGCCGGCCCUCAGAGACGCCGUCUUCACCCUCAAAACCAAGGUGUGCACAAAACACACACUCAUCAGAUCACUACGGCGCUAAUAAUAAGGUCAUAUUUGUGUAGGAAGACUCUUCUGCUCACCGAUGACGCCUUCGUUUGAUUAAAGUCAGCGUGACAGCAGAAUGACCAUGUUGAUUUCACUGGCACACAAGGCUAUUCUGCUGCCUGUGGAGUGAGGCUCCUUCUGUUGUCGUGGGUUUCCAUAGCAACUUUAUAAUAAUAUCCUUAACCACGCCCCUUUUACCAUUAGUUUACAAGAGAGAUGUGCAAAAGAAAGCCCCACCCACUUCUCAAUAUUCAGUUUCAAUUGGAAAUGCUUCAACAUGCUGAAGUAAGCCCCGGCUAGUUGCAGUUCACGCAGACUCUGAAUACAUACUGCCAGUCAGUGGGCGUGUCUUUCGAUCAGUGGGUGUGUCUUUCAAACAGUGGGUGUGUCUUUCAAACAGUGUCUAUGUGGGUGUGUCUGUUAGUAAGUGGGCGUGUCUGGACAGAGGGUGUGUCUAUGUGGGUGUGUCUGUUAGUAAUUGGGCGUGUCUAGACAGAGGGUGUGUCUAUACGGGUGUGCCUGUUAGUAAGUGGGUGUGUCUCAGUAAGUGGGUGUGUCAGGACAGAGGGUGUGUCUAUAGACGAAUCUAUGUCCAUCAGUGGGCAUGUUUGGACAGGAGGUGUGUCUAUGUGGGUGUGUCUGUCAGUGGGUGUAUCCAGACAAAGGGCGUGUCUAUUAGGGCGUGUCUGUCAGUCAGUGGGUGUGUCAGGUCAAAGAGUGUGUCUGUGUGGGUGUGUCUGUCAGUGAGUGUGUCAGGACAAAGGGCGUGUCUAUUAGGGCGUGUCUGUCAGUCAGUGGGUGUGUCAGGACAAAGGGCGUGUCUAUUAGGGCGUGUCUGUCAGUCAGUGGGUGUGUCAGAACAAAGAGUGUGUCUGUGUGGGUGUGUCAGGAAUAAGGGUGUGUCCAUUAGGGCGUGUCUAUUAGCCAGUGGGUGUAUCUCGGUAAGUGGGUGUGUCAGGACAGAGGGUGUGUCUUUAGACAAAUCUUUGUCCAUCAGUGGGCGUGUUUGGACAGGAGGUGUGUCUAUGUGGGUGUGUCUGUCAGUCAGUGGGUGUGUCAGGACAGAGGGUGUGUACAUGUGGGUGUGUCUGUUAGUCAGUGGGUGUGUCUUGACAGAGGGUGUGUUUAUGUGGGUGUGUCAGUCAGUCAGUGGGUGUGUCAGGACAGAUAAUGUGUAUAUAUGGGUGUGUCUGUUUAGUCAGUGGGUGUGUCAGAGACAGAGGGUGGUUUAUGUGGGUGUGUCUGUUGUCAGUGGGUNNNNNNNNNNNNNNNNNNNNNNNNNNNNNNNNNNNNNNNNNNNNNNNNNNNNNNNNNNNNNNNNNNNNNNNNNNNNNNNNNNNNNNNNNNNNNNNNNNNNACACACACACACAGACUCACUCUCACACACACACACUCAUGAGUGUGUGUCCAGCAGGGAUCCGUCUCUCAGUAAAGCGUGCGCUCACAGUCUGGCAGAGCGCAGCGAGUACGUCAAGCAGAUGAAGACGCUCCUCAACUCCAGAGACUUCAGGGAGAGGAUGAAGGCCAUCGAUCAGCUGGUGUGUGACUGUGAGGAAAACCCAGCUCUGGUCAUCGGCAGCCUGUUCCCGGUACACACACACACACACACUCAUCACAUGCUCUGAAGAAACACUCUAGCAGCUUCUGGAAAUCAAUAGAGGUGCUCUUUCUUCCUCACUGGAGCUUUAAUCCCGCUAAUGACUGAAAGUGUAACGAGCAUAGAUGUAGAAUAUAUAGACUGCUGCAGUAUGGGAAGCUCCCGUCUGCAUGAUCUUCUAAUAAUUCAAUGUUUAAAUACCAAUUCUUUACAUACAUGUGGAGUGUAACAGAUGUUGAUGCUGUUUUACAUGCUGAAAAGCCCAACACACAUAACACCUGCAGGUUUGAGCUGAUGCUGUGUGUGUUGUGCUGCAGGUGUUUGACUGUCUGAAGGCGCGUCUGCAGGAGUCUAACAGUAAGGUGAAUCUGCGCGCUCUGGAGGCUCUGCACUCCAUCAUCACUCUGCUCAGAGAUCAUCUUUCUCCAGUGCUCAACAUCCUCAUCCCGGCGCUCGUGGACAAUCACCUCAACUCCAAAAACACACUCGUCUACACGGCGGCGCUGGCGGCACUGCAGGCCCUCACACACAACAUCGGUCAGUGCUACACAACUACAUCAUUCACCACAGCUAUCAGUGCUUAAAGGCAGGACUAUCUAUCAGUCAUUUAGGGCGGGGCUAUCAGUCAUUUAGGGCGGGGCUAUCAGUCAUUUAGGGCGGGGCUAUCAGUCAUUUAGGGUGGGGGUAUUAGUAAUUUAGGGUGGGGCUAUCAGUCAUUUAGGGCGGGGCUAUCAGUCAUUUAGGACGGGGCUAUCAGUCAUUUAGGGCGGGGCUAUUAGUCAUUUAGGGUGGGGCUAUCACUAUUUUAGGGUGGGGUUAUCAGUGAUUUAGGGCAGGGCUAUCAGUGAUUUAGGGCAGGGCUAUCAGUGAUUUAGGGCGGGGCUAUCAGUCAUUUAGGGUGGGGCUAUUAGUAAUUUAGGGUGGGGCUAUCAGUCAUUUAGGGUGGGGCUAUCAGUCAUUUAGGGCGGGGCUAUCAGUCAUUUAGGACGGGGCUAUCAGUCAUUUAGGGCGGGGCUAUUAGUCAUUUAGGGUGGGGCUAUCACUAUUUUAGGGUGGGGUUAUCAGUGAUUUAGGGCAGGGCUAUCAGUGAUUUAGGGCGGGGCUAUCAGUCAUUUAGGGAGGGGUAUCUGUCAUUUAGGGUGGGGCUAUUAGCCAUUUAGGGUGGGGCUAUCAGCCAUUUAGGGUGGGGCUAUCAGUCAUUUAGGGCGGGGCUAUCAGUCAUUUAGGGUGGGGUUAUCAGUCAUUUAGGGCGGGGCUAUCAGUCAUUUAGGGCCGGCUAUCAGUAAUUUAGGGCGGGGCUAUCAGUCAUUUAGGGUGGGGCUAUCAGUAAUUUUGGGUGGGGCUAUCAGUGAUUUAGGGUGGGGCUAUCAGUCAUUUAGGGCGGGGCUAUCAGUCAUUUAGGGUGGGGUUAUCAGUCAUUUAGGGCGGGGCUAUCAGUCAUUUAGGGCCGGCUAUCAGUAAUUUAGGGCGGGGCUAUCAGUCAUUUAGGGUGGGGCUAUCAGUAAUUUUGGGUGGGGCUAUCAGUGAUUUAGGGUGGGGCUAUCAGUCAUUUAGGACGGGACUAUCAGUCAUUUAGGGUGGGGCUAUCAGUCAUUUAGGGCGGGGCUAUCAGUCAUUUAGGGUGGGGCUAUCAGUCAUUUAGGGCGGGGCUAUCAGUGAUUUAGGGUGGGGUUAUCAGUAAUUUGUGGUGGGGCUAUCAGUAAUUUAUGGUGGGGCUAUCAGUAAUUUAGGGUGGGGCUAUCAGUGAUUUAGGAUGGGACUAUCAGUUAUUUAGGGCGGAGCUAUCAGUCCUUAAGCAUUACAUCACCUUAAAUGAAAGUCCUACUGCUGGAGUGUUUUAACCUCUACAUGAGUGUGUGUUCAGCAGUGUGUUGAGCUGUGUUUCAGUGUGUGUUGACUGUAGUGACUCUGUGUGUGUUUCAGACAACAGUCUCCUGCUGCAGCCCUUCUGCUCUAAAGCACAGUAUCUGAGCGGGAAAGCAAAGCUGGACCUGAUCGAGAAAGUAGCAGGUGAGUCUGGAGGAGCUUUAUCAGAAUAAUAAUAAUAAUAAUGUAUUUUUGUUGAUCAUGAGUGUGUGUUAUCAGAUCUGGUGCUAAAUCUGUGUCGCAGUGUGUGUCUAUGUAAAUCAGUGUGAACCUGCUGUGUUAAUCAUCAGUGUGUGUGUGUGUGUGUGUGUGGCAGAGGUGGUGUGUGACCUGUAUCCCCGCAGGCCUCAGCUGGUGGAGCAGAAGACUCUCCCUCUGCUGUGGACUCUGCUGGGCUCUUGCAGUGCU
rnacentral:lncRNA from 1 species